ACGUUCGGGUAAUCGCUGCAGUCCGAGCGGCUGCAGAGGAAAGUCCAUGCUCGCACAGUGCUGAGAUGCCUGUAGUGAUCGCGCCUGGCGAAACCAUAAGCCAGGGCAGCAUUUUAAUGCUGACGGCAGGGAAAACACCUACGUCCUCGUGGAUAUGGUGUGAAUACUUUGAAAGUGCCACAGUGACGGAGCUUUAUCAGAAAUGAUAAAGGUGGAACGAGGUAAACCCCGUGAGUGAGCAACCCAAAUUUUGGUAGGGGCACUUUCCGGACGGAACUGAACGAAUGGAAAGGCAGAAGCAUAAGUUUCUGCAGACAGAUGAUUGCCACCGGAGUACGAGGUCACACCCUGGCCGUUUGUAGUACGAAGGAACAAAACAUGGCUUAUAGAA
rfam:[Bacillus] aminovorans strain DSM 1314 DSM1314_contig_8, whole genome shotgun sequence.